UGACGUGGCGGCAGACUACACAUGCAGUCGAGCGGUAGCACAGGGGAGCUUGCUCCCCGGGUGACGAGCGGCGGACGGGUGAGUAAUGUCUGGGAAACUGCCUGAUGGAGGGGGAUAACUACUGGAAACGGUAGCUAAUACCGCAUAACGUCGCAAGACCAAAGAGGGGGACCUUCGGGCCUCUUGCCAUCAGAUGUGCCCAGAUGGGAUUAGCUAGUAGGUGGGGUAAUGGCUCACCUAGGCGACGAUCCCUAGCUGGUCUGAGAGGAUGACCAGCCACACUGGAACUGUAGACACGGUCCAGACUCCUACGGGAGGCA
rnacentral:rRNA from 1 species